rnacentral:rRNA from 1 species
AGGUGCUAAUACCGGAUAAGAAAGCAGAUCGCAUGAUCUAGCUUUUAAAAGGGCGGCGUAAGCUGUCGCUAGUGGGAUGGCCCGCGGUGCAUUAGCUAGUUGGUAAGGUAAAGGCUUACCAAGGCGAUGAUGCAUAGCCCGAGUUGAGAGACUGAUCGGGCCACAUUGGGGACUGAGACACGGGGCCCAAACUCCUACGGGGGGAGGGGCAGCAGUAGGGGGAAUCUUCCACAAUGGACGCAAGUCUGAUGGAGCAACGCCGCGUGAGUGAAGAAGGUUUUCGGAUCGUAAAGCUCUGUUGUUGGUGAAGAAGGAUAGGAGGUAGUAACUCGGUCCUUUAUUUGACGGUAAUCAACCAGAAGUCACGGCUAACUACGUGCCAGCAGCCGUGGUAAU